rnacentral:rRNA from 1 species
GACGAACGCUUGCGGCGUGCCUAAGAAAUGCAAGUCGAACGGGGUCCGUAGCAAUACGGGUCCAGUGGCGAACGGUCGCGUAACACGUAAGCAACCUGCCCUGGAGUGGGGGAUAACGUUCCGAAAGGGACGCUAAUACCGCAUGUGGUCGACUGGUGGCAUCACCGGUCGUCUAAAGAUUCAUCGCUCCGGGAUGGGCUUGCGGGCCUAUCAGGUAGUUGGCGGGGUAACGGCCCACCAAGCCGACGACGGGUAGCUGGUCUGAGAGGACGAUCAGCCGGAUUGGGACUGAGAUACGGCCCAGACUCCUACGGGGGGCGACGC